rnacentral:lncRNA from 1 species
CUGAAUUUUGACGUAAUUUCUUCUGAUGUAGCUAGCAGGUGGCAGAGGUGUAUUUGAAAGUCGGCAAUAUCUUGACAGCGAUUAGAAUGUCCUCCGUCUGCUAGUCUUCUUGGUUCUUGAAUUCUGUGGAGCUCAAAUAGACAACAAAGCUUUGUGGAACCGAUUCAGUGUUAGCACAAAUAUCUAGCCUUUAUCAUGUUGAGCCUCCUCAAUAAAUAUUACUACCUAUUUUUAUAUUUUUAUUUUAUAAAGCAGAAAAAUAUUUUUAUGCCACCACAGUGAUUGUACUUAUGGGUUUUAUGCCACUCGUAUACUCACAUGGGGCUUACUGUUUUUCACAUUUUUAUUUUCUUUUUAGGAUAGUAUGAACAUAAUUAACUAAGUAGACUAUUUGAAAUAAUUGAAAGGGAAAUGAUAACUACCAAGUUUACCUCUUGGCAAGGCGUUCGGUGUUUUUAAGUCCUCCGAACGGGACUCUCCUCUUUCUCAAUUGUCCUGGGAUUCGUUGGGUGGCGUAGUCGGUACUUCCGGCAGUGCGUCCUCUUCAUGUAUAGUUGUCUUCUCUUAACGUACCUGACUUGGUUCUACAGUCUCCUCUGGAUAAUUCUGUUUAAACUGAAUGUCUUCUGACCUUUUCACUUCUCUUUCAUAGUCUGCCCAUCCGUCCUUGAUGAUCUGCCUCGUCUGGUUGCGAUUGCGUCGUUUCGUGACCUGCUUAGAGUCUUCGACGAUAUGGUUAGGGUCAGUAAAAUAGCGGCGUACCUUCUCCGAGGGGAAGUGCAUAUGGACUUCUCUAGUUGUAAUGUAGAAGAUUGCUUUAACUGUGCUGAGGAACGGUCUUCCAAGGAUGAUGGGUGGAUCGUACUCGUCUUCUCCCAUGUCAAUAACCUA